rnacentral:lncRNA from 1 species
UGGGACCCAAGCACAGCUUGUUACCUGAUGGAACUGUGAACUCUGUAUAAAAUUUACUGGAGGUUCACUCUGCUUGCUUUUUAGUCGUAAAAUGUUAUCGGCGUAUCCCCAGCUUAGGAUAGCUGACCACUGAAUAUCAGUGCUGUGCAUACUUCUCACACCUUGCUCCUUGCUAUAUAUCAUCAAAAGGCAAAACUUGCGGGACAAACCACAUAUAGC